GGUGAUUUAUGUAUGUACAUAUAAUGUAUAUGCUUAUAGUGGUCUUUUCCGCCCACGAUGUAUUAGACUCCUCUCACAUCAUUUGAGUUAUAGGGUACUGUAUUUUUGGCAUCCGGUGAGAUCAGGUGGCAAGUAACUUAAUAUCUGUACCUUAGAAUCUGGUCCUGGUUGCCACUUAUCUAUCUGGACAUUUGGUUCCUCUGGUCACUGGACAAGUUAUUUUAUUGCUUAG